CCAGUGAUAAUCUUACUUAGGGGUUUACAUACGAAGUGCUUGUCACUUGAAUAACGACCUCGGGAAGGUCUGAGAAAGGGCCGUCAUAUAACAUUCUAGCAGGAUGACGUGAUAAUAGCGUGCGAGGGAACCAGAAACAGUCCGAAUUCAGAAUUAGUCGGGGACAUCAUUCUUGUGAUUGAUUGAGACAAAGUUCUGUAAUUCGUUGGAACCCCUCGUGGCCAGAUAUUUAAGUGCAAUCCGUAAGGUGGUCUCUCAUAUUGACCAUAACUCAAUUCAGACUAGUCUGUCACUGG
rnacentral:RNase_P_RNA from 3 species